AUGAGUUUGUAUCACUGUGGUACACGUUCGGUGGAGGAACCAGACUGGAGGUUGGAACUCAAUGAGUUUGUAUCACUGUGGUACACGUUUGGUGGUGGAACCAGACUGGAGGUUGGAAGUGAUACUCGUCCCACCCUGUCAGUGCUGCCCCCCUCCAGUGAGGAGCUGCAGCAGGGGAAGGCUACCCUCAUGUGUCUGGCCAACAAGGGCUUCCCCUCAGACUGGAGUCUGUCCUGGAUGCUGGACGGCAGCAGCAGCUUCACCUGGGAAGAAAACAAGAGCCAAAUGGUGCUGCAGAAGGACGGCCUCUACAGCUGGAGCAGCACCCUGAGACUCCCUGCAGACCAGUGGAGGAAGGUGGGCUCUGUGACCUGUGAGGCCACCCAGGGCUCCCAGACUGCAGUCACAGAGACACUCAGGAGAGACCAGUGUUCCCAGUCUUGACCACACUCUCUGAGACACUGAUAUUGGCUUUAAUCUGUGACUGCUCUCACUUUUUCUCUCCUGAUUAUUCUCUAGUUUCACUCAGUCAUCUUUGCUUUGUCAUGUUGGUCACUAUUCAAUAAUAAAGAUUUACUUAUCAA